ensembl:lncRNA
UCGCCGUGUGCCAGAAGCUCACACUCAGCGGGGAAAAGGGCUUUUCUUUCACUCUGUUAAAAGAUUGAAAAUCAAACUGACGGGUUGAGGUUAUUUAAAGGAAAGGAAACUUCAUUUUAGAAGGAGUGUUAAUAAAACAUGUGAGCCGUGGGAUCGUCUCGGUGUAGGCACCUCUGAGUGUGUUCAAAGUUGCAUGAGAAAGAAAAAAUCCCGCUCUGCCUUCAGAACGUUGACGCCUUCGUCAUCAGGUGCUUCAACUCUUCUUCAACCGAGGCUUCAGCUGCCGACGCGCCGAUGCUGCAACAACGUCGCCUCAAGAGCGAUGCCUGAAGCAACAACACCUUGAAGGCAACGCUGGCGCCUGAACGCCUCACGCGGUGCAGAAGGUUCCUAACGAACAGAAAAGACGGCGGGAGACCGUCAGCCGGGGGGCUCACAACGAAAUGUGACGGUGUGAGGAAGCAGAACCGGUUCCCAGAUUGUGGACUAAGGUGGUUGAAGUGCUGGAGCCAAACCCCCAAAACCCAGAGCGUCCUGCAGAACCAACAGAAGCAGCUGGAUGGAGAGAAAGUCAAAGUGCGUCCGACGCUUCUCCUUCAGAUGGCGAGUGGAGGGGGAGGAGAGGAGGACGAGUCCUGGUGGGAGGAGGGAUGGUUCUCCUGCGUGGUUGACUCAAGCCAGACAUUAGGGGGCAGGAUGAGGG